rnacentral:rRNA from 1 species
UACGUAGGAUGCAAGCGUUGUCCGGAAUUAUUGGGCGUAAAAGGUGCGCAGGCGGUUUUUCAAGUCAGAUGUGAAAUAUCCCGGCUUAACUGGGAGGGGCCAUUUGAAACUGAAAGACUAGAGUGCAGGAGAGGAUAGCGGAAUUCCCGGUGUAGUGGUGAAAUGCGUAGAUAGUCGGGAGGAACACCAGUGGCGAAGGCGGCUCACUGGCCCGAUACUGACGCUGAGGCACGAAAGCGUGGGGAGCAAACAGG